UUUGAGAGUUUGAUCCUGGCUCAGAACGAACGCUGGCGGCGUGCCUAACACAUGCAAGUCGAGCGCGAAAGUCCCUUCGGGGGCGAGUAGAGCGGCGGACGGGUGAGUAAUACAUGGAUAAUCUAUCCUCGAGCUCGGGAUAACCCUGCGAAAGCGGGGCUAAUACCGGAUAAGACCACGUAACACAAGUUACGUGGUAAAAGGUGGCUUGCUUUCGGGUUGAGCUAUCACUUGAGGGUGAGUCCAUGGCCUAUCAGCUAGUUGGUAGGGUAAUGGCCUACCAAGGCUAUGACGGGUAGCUGGUCUGAGAGGACGGCCAGCCACACUGGGACUGAGACACGGCCCAGACUCCUACGGGAGGCAGCAGUGGGGAAUAUUGGGCAAUGGGCGAAAGCCUGACCCAGCGACGCCGCGUGGGGGAAGAAGGCCUUCGGGUUGUAAACCCCUUUUGCAGGGGACGACACAGGACGGUACCCUGCGAAUAAGCCACGGCUAACUCUGUGCCAGCAGCCGCGGUAAGACAGAGGUGGCAAGCGUUGCUCGGAUUCACUGGGCUUAAAGGGCGCGUAGGUGGUU
rnacentral:rRNA from 1 species